rnacentral:rRNA from 1 species
UACGUAGGGCGCAAGCGUUUAUCCGGAAUUAUUGGGCGUAAAGAGCUCGUAGGCGGUUUGUCGCGUCUGCCGUGAAAGUCCGGGGCUCAACUCCGGAUCUGCGGUGGGUACGGGCAGACUAGAGUGAUGUAGGGGAGACUGGAAUUCCUGGUGUAGCGGUGAAAUGCGCAGAUAUCAGGAGGAACACCGAUGGCAAAGGCAGGUCUCUGGGCAUUAACUGACGCUGAGGAGCGAAAGCAUGGGGAGCGAACAGG